UGAAACUUUAAAUAUCAUAAAAUUAUUAUUUGUAUUCUAAGCUUAGAAAAUCUAUUUUUGUUUGUGAUUGUGAAUGUACACUCGCCACCCACGUCAAAACAUUGGAUGGAAUUGAAGUGACGUUUACACAUUUUUAUGUCGGUGCUGUAAAUUUGCGAAAAAAUCGCCACGCAGCAUGGGAGAUGCAUCGGUUUCUGACGCGGAGUCCAAUAAGCCUAGCCCUGGAGGCGAGGGUCCGCCCGAACAGGACCGGCGUCCUUUCGGUGAUUUGGAGUUCCAAGUUUCUGAGGUAGUAGGCCGCCUGGAGGCGGGAGUGAACGCUCAAGAUGUUCAGGAAGAGGAGAAAAGACCGGAGCCGCGAAAGAUCAGCGCUGGUUUCUUUGAACCGGAGGAAACGUCAAUGGAUGCUAUUUUGAAGGUUUUGGAAGACUUGGUGUUGAAGACUGACCCUAGUUGUGAGAGUGUGGAGCCGCCGCUGUUGCCGACAGACGCCGUGACGCGAGCGGCUAUUCUGUCGCAUAGUAUAUCAGCUUUGUUUGGAAGGUUGGAGAGGAGUCACGCCGCCAGACUUGGUGCUCACAUUGCUAGUGAGACUACAAGAUGGAUGGCGCAUAUGUUUAGGCUAGCUGACUACAAUGCAUAUUACCACCAGGAGCAACUCGAAGGUCUCGUCAGAGUCACACGAAUGCUGCUGCACCACAGAUAUCCAAGAUAUUUGGAGGACGGAGCAAUCGCGUUCACAAACCGUCUACCAUGCAUAUACAGUUGCGUGGCCAGUCCUCUUGGCGUGGUACAACAUCUCUGCAGACAGUUGGGUCUACCACUAGCAUGCGUCAGACCAGUGCCUGUACAUCCUUCAGGUCGAGGCAUGGACAUAGAAGCACUAGAAAAGCUUUACGAUGAAGACAUAGCAGCUAACAGGACACCCCUCCUAGUGUUGGGGGAAGUGGGAGCUCCCCCCCUCGGCUGGGGAACUCCCCUAGCGUUGUUGGGACAGAUGUGCUCCCAGAGGAACUUGCAUUUACAUGUUAGGGGACAUGCGCUUGCGUUGCCAGGUGCUACGGGGAGGGAUGAGUCAUUCAGCAUACCAGAUUCAGUGACACUCACACCGGGACCAUGGUUUGGCGUACCUGGACUUCCUACUGUUACGUUCUACAGAAUACCUGAACCAAUCACAGUCAACGACCAAUCGAAAGCAGUGAGUGCUGUUGGUAGCAGAGAAGGCGCUUUAGCAGCUCUAGCAGGUCUAACGGGCGGUGGUGCCAGAUUACCAGCCUUACCGCUAUGGACGUGUGUCCGUGCGGCCGGCGCCCGCGCGCUGCAGGCUCGACUGACGGCCGCAUUCAGGUCCGCUAGGGCACUGCAUGCUGUGGUCGCUAGCGCUGGACUGAGGCUGCUGAGUGAAAGACCAGGCGGCGACGAACCACCAAACGUAGGAAUAGUGGAAGCAGUAAGCCACGCGUCGGCAUGCGUAGCAUUUCAGUUCGCGCCCCCCGGCACUGAGAAACCUCCGCCGUAUUAUGACAAACUCAACUCCUGGCUCGGACAAGUAUUGCAGAGAGAGGCUGAAAUGAUAAGCAUAGAGGUAUGCGAGACUGAAGCUCAAGGCGUAGUCCUCCGCUACUGCCCGCUGGAGGGCGCGGGCGGCGCGGGCGGCGACGGCGCCGUGGCGUCGUGGGCCGCUCUGCUAGACGCUCAGUUGCAUGUGCUGCAUGCUACCGUGGCGCUAAGGGAACCUUUUCAAGCUAGGGUCGCUGUACAUUCCAGCUUGGCUCUCGUUCAUGUACCGGGGUGGGCAGGUCUGGGCGGAGUUCGAUACAUCCCCCCCGGCUGGGAGGGGGCGUCAACAGAUGAGCUGAACUCUCUGAACAGACAGCUGGUGGAGACGCUCAGAGCUACUGACGGCGCCUUCUCUUGCGGGGAUGGGGAAGACGGGAUGGCUUGCGUCAGGUUCGGUAUGGUGACGGAAGAUACAGAUGUGGAUGAACUGCUGGACCUGGUUAUAUCGGCCGGCAAGGAGGUCGAGGAGAGCAGCCGAGCGCUCACCAAUAUGACGGAGGUCUUGAAGAAAGGCAUCGAAGAAGCCCAAGCGGACAUCGAGCGCGAGAACGCGGAGCGGCUGUGGCAGGAGGGACUGCUGCGCCGCGUGCCCGUCGUGGGGCGAGUGGUGCAGUGGUGGGCCCCCGCCGCCCCCCCGCCGCCCCCCGGCCGCCGCCUGCUGCUCGCGCACGGCGCGCUGCAGACCACGGCCGACGUGUACAGGUAGCUCUGUGUGCUGUACCCCCCCCGCGCCCCCCCGCCGCCCCCCGGCCGCCGCCUGCUGCUCGCGCACGGCGCGCUGCAGACCACGGCCGACGUGUACAGGAACGUCCAAAACAAAAACAACACAGAGCCCGCGCGAGCGCACUCGCCAACAAGACAAACGCCCGACGCACAAUAGCGGUCCCAGUAAGUUGUAUAUGUAUACGCUACGCCAAUAUUGGCCCAACAUGUCGGCUGUAUGCCGGCUAUAUGACCACGUGUGUAUGCCGAAAGUUUGGUCCAACUGUCGACCGAUGUCCUAUGUUUGCACCAAGGUUGCUCGACGUAACUCUGCAAUGAUAAACUACAACUGCAAUCUAACACUAACUCAGCAGUCAGUUAAACUGAUGUCAAACCAAAGAUUGCUUUGCUUAAUAUUACAAAGAACUUAGGAAAUUAAUUAAAAUCUUUUAUUUAUAUUGACUAAUUGUAUUGUAAAUCAGAUCUCAAAAUUACACAAAAGUAUUUCGUAGUUUUUUUUUAUUUAUUUGACGCGUUGCAGAGUUAAGUUCGGCCAGUAUUAAAACAAUUGAUCGGCUAAAGCCAAAACGUGUUCAGUCAUUCAAAUUCAAAAUUACGGCAUGAAAAUAUUAAUUUAAAAUUCGAACUUAUUAAUAUGUAGACUAGAUUUAAUGAAGUAGCAGUAAUAUAAGGGCAGUUACACGCAUGUAUAAAAGCCUUAGUAAUAUUGAUCUGUAACUUAAAAAGUUUUAUUUAAUAGGUUGGGGCGUAUUAACUGAUAUAAAAGUAUCGAUAUAUCGACUUUAAAGAAGAGAGUGAAAUACAGCCCAAUCUAUUGAAGUAUUAGUGUUAUGUUAGUCACCGAUUUAUUUCCAGGAUUAAAAUAAAAUACCUUGCCUUAUAGUGAAGGCUUAAUUUAUGAUCUUGAGCCAGAAAAUAAAAAUGACCACUAAAGCUGCGAUGAGUUUAAUUUGGUAUAACAAGUCCCAUGCCAAAUAUUUGUCUAAAUUCACUACAAAAUUGACAACUUUCUAACCAACAUUAGGCAAUUUUUAUUUUCUGACGAAGCUCCGACCGCUGUAAUAAAUUGUAGCUUUUCUAUGAAUAGUUAAUAAAGUAAUGUACUUCAUAGAAAGUAUGACGACGGUCCAUUAGUUGAACAUAGGCUAAAAUUAAUGGCAAUAUUAGUAUGGUACAGAGGAAAUUAAAUUAUACUUAAAAUAAGUCUUUGAAGUUGCUCUAAGGUGCGGUUUGACUAAGGUGUAACAAUGCAUUUACGUACGAGUAAUUAAUAAAUAACGGAUGAUAGAUAUGUGAGUCUCGUUUAGCUAUGCGUACGCCGAGGCUCCACGUACUAAGUCAGUCGAUCACUAUUUAAUUAGAAAAUUACCCUACAGGUGCUCGGAGAAAAGAUAAUGAAACGGGAACUUGAGUAAAAAAGUUUUGAAUAUGAACCUCCCCACUCAGAGACAUUUAAUGAUUACUUAAGUCACUCCUUAGUGACGGAAUGUCAUACAAAUCCUUCACUAAAGAAUGGCUUAAGUAACCAUCAAAUGACUCUGAGUGGGGAGUUAAGAGUCUGUUUUGUGUACUCUAAAUGACACGCACUUAGAAGGUUGUCAUCAAAUUCGCACAAGUGAUGUCAGAGUCGAUAUUUUUUUAUCGACAAACCUGAUCUAUCGAUAAACAAUUAUUUUACAUUGAGCACUAUAUUGUACGAGGGACUAAUAUCACAAUAUUUAAAAAUCUAAGGUAAAAUCUUAUCGUUCUAUUUUAUGCAUUGAAUUGUUUAACCAAAAAGUUCGAAACUGUUCACUCACCCUUACUAUAGUUUACAAAACCAUAAUCAAAUAUAUAAAAAAACAUGAUAGUCUAUGGUGCGAGUCAAUUUCAAAGCAGCUUCUGUAUGAAAGAUAAUAUACAUAAUUUCCACAUCAUCGGUAUUUCAUAUAAAUAAGUUAUGCCUUCAAAAGUAAUUAUAAUUAAUUAAUAUUUUAAUAUCACAAUAGGUGUUUAAGAACUAGUAAAGUGUAAAAUUUAUUUUAUUUUAUGAAGAUAAUACACCAGUUGAACGGAGUCGCGUCAAAAUGGUGACAAUUUUGUUUAAAGCAAUGUUGCCAUGUUUUUACGUUUGGCAACCCCAUUUACAUUUUCACAAUAUUUUAGUAAGUGGUAUUUUUAAGCCAAUAUUAUACCAGUUAUUCUUAUUAUUUAUGUUCCUUAAAUAAUAUUUUAAGUGCCCGCAAGUUUAAAAAUACUGCAUUUAUUGCAGUUAAUACAGAAUAAUCGAAUGUCUGACAUAAUUAUGUUUAAAUGUAUGCGAGAAUGUGAUUGAUGUGAUAUAAUUAAAGAUAAACAUUCAUUUAAUUUUAGUUGUCAAUUUAAAUAUAUACAUUUAAUUUGUAUUAUGAUAAUUAUACUUACUUAACAUGUAGAAAGUAACCCAGUAAUAAAAUAUGAAUAUUCUUAUUCCACACAACGCACAUAAGUUAUAUUGCCAUAUUAAAUAUAGUAAGGAUUAAAGCUUCAUAUUAUGUUGUCAAAAAUAUCCAGGGAGCAUUCUUGACAAACUGUUAAGUCCGCCGUUCAAUCACAAGUCAGGAAUCAAGACACCGAAUAAAAAAAAACUACGAAAAUAAAUUCAUUUUAGAAAACUAGUAACUUAAUUCUGUAUCAUUUCACCAGUUUUUUUUUUUUUAAUUUUGUUCACAAAAUGAUAAAAAUGAGAAUACUAAUUCAGCGAACGGACUUUUCAAGCAUGUAAAGCCACAUUAUUAAACUCAAAAGAUAUACUUAUUUAGGUACAAUUUAUUUAUUCUAUUACGCAUUUUCAUUUGAGAUAUUAACUUGUAGGCAUCUUAAUAGGCGAUGACUGAUUUGUUUUGAUAAUUCAACUAUAUACCAUUGAAUGGUUAGAAUGUAUAAAAAGCUGGUCCUAUAAUUUGGCCCAACAUUGUCAUAUCGGGAAUGUAUUGGCCCCAACUCUCUACGCCAAGGUUCGCUGUAGACCAAUUGUGUUGGUUAUUUCAGUCAUGUGAACCAACACUUGCAAUCUGUACGCUUGGGUGCAAAUAUUGGCCACCAACAUAUGGACUAGUGUGCAUUUUAAAUGCAUGUAUCUCCUGCAUAUGCCAAGUUAUCAUUCCAAUCAGUUUGUGAACUGAUGUAUAAGUUUUAUUUAUUUACUUAUUGCAAUUUGAUCUUAUAUUUUCAAUUAUUUUAAUCUGGUUGUUAACUGAAGUUUAAUGCAAGUGUGAAUAAAGGUUUUAUAACUCGGUAAAACGACGAUGUUGAAUCGUUUAAGACUCGCGAAAUGAAAAGGAUUCACUCACUCGCAUAAAACAUCAGCACAGUUCAUACAAAAAUAAUACGUAUUACGGUGAUAAUAAUGAUUAUUUUGGUACAAAUAUUAUGUAUAUUAUUUACUUAGUUUUAAUGUGUAAGUAUCUUCCAAAGUUAAUUGUUUUUAUUGGGACACUUAAAUACAAAUUGAGAAUCAUCAGCUAUGAUGUUGAAUCAAGAUAGAACAUAUUUUACAUGCUCUUCGUUUUGUGCUGUUUCUAUCUUUUGACCAACAGGUGUAUGAAGAUACAAAGUAGUUAUUGCUUUUAAUUUAUGUAUUCUGAGAUGUCCAAAUAAAAUCAAUAAAAGAUACAUUAAGCUAUUAUUAAGAUGUGAAGUUAUGAUUCAAUUAUCCUGUAAAAUUAAUUAAAUAAGUUAUUGAGUGAUAAAAAAUAAAAUUAUACAUUGUU
rnacentral:misc_RNA from 1 species